rnacentral:rRNA from 1 species
CUACGGGUGGCUGCAGUGAGGAAUAUUGCGCAAUGGGGGAAACCCUGACGCAGCGACGCCGCGUGGAUGAUGAAGGCCUUAGGGUCGUAAAAUCCUGUCAGGUGGGAAGAAGUGGAUAUAGAUUAAUACUCUAUUUCUUUGACGGUACCACCAAAGGAAGCACCGGCUAACUCCGUGCCAGCAGCCGCGGUAAUACGGAGGGUGCAAACGUUGUUCGGAAUUACUGGGCGUAAAGCGCGCGUAGGCGGUCUGUUAAGUCAGAUGUGAAAGUCCAUGGCUCAACUAUGUAAGUGCAUUUGAAACUGGCAGACUUGAGUACUGGAGGGGGUGAUGGAAUUCCCGGUGUAGCGGUGAAAUUCGUAGAUAUCGGGAGGAAUACCGGUGGCGAAGGCGAUCACCUGGCCAGAUACUGACGCUGAGGUGCGAAAGCGUGGGGAGCAAACAGGAUUAGAUACCCCCGUAGUC